rnacentral:sRNA from 1 species
CUUCAGAUCCAUACCAAGAACAUGAAGCUGGCAGAUGAUGUGGACCUGGAACAGGUAGCCAAUGAGACUCACGGGCAUGUGGGUGCUGACUUAGCAGCCCUGUGCUCAGAGGCUGCUCUGCAAGCCAUCCGCAAGAAGAUGGAUCUCAUUGACCUAGAGGAUGAGACCAUUGAUGCCGAGGUCAUGAACUCCCUAGCAGUUACUAUGGAUGACUUCCGGUGGGCCUUGAGCCAGAGUAACCCAUCAGCACUGCGGGAAACCGUGGUAGAAGUGCCACAGGUAACCUGGGAAGACAUCGGGGGCCUAGAGGAUGUCAAACGUGAGCUACAGGAGCUGGUCCAGGUAGGGCAACUUCGUCCAGGGUGAGUCACUGCCUCUGUACAUUGUAAUCGACCUGGGUGAUCUCAGGGUGUCAACACAUUUGCUGCAAGAAUUGUGAGAGCACGACUUAGGAACCUACUGUUCUUAGGUUUAAGGCACUAAGGAGUCUUCUUCUAGAGAACCUGGAUCUGAUACCAUUGGGUACACCAUGAAAUAAUGGAGGGGAUGCUUCUGUUUAGUUAGGUUUCUUUCAAAAUGUGGAGGUAGCCUUGAACCCUCUUUCCUUUUCCUCCUAGUAUCCUGUGGAGCACCCAGACAAAUUCCUGAAGUUUGGCAUGACACCCUCCAAGGGAGUUCUGUUCUAUGGACCUCCUGGCUGUGGGAAAACUUUGUUGGCCAAAGCCAUUGCUAAUGAAUGCCAGGCCAACUUCAUCUCCAUCAAGGGUCCUGAGCUUCUCACCAUGUGGUUUGGGGAGUCUGAGGCCAAUGUCAGAGAAAUCUUUGACAAGGCCCGCCAAGCUGCCCCCUGUGUGCUAUUCUUUGAUGAGCUGGAUUCGAUUGCC